GGCUGCCCUGCCCAGGGUCAGGCCCUGGGGAUGCUCCUGCCUGGGGCUCCGGCAAUCCUCUGCCUUCUGAGAUGGAUGUGUUGUCCCCAUUUUGCAGAUAAGCAAAAGGAAGAUCAGAAGGUCCCAGGCACCUGCUAGACAGCAACACUAUGAGCUUCGUGGCGUACGAGGAGCUGAUCAAAGAGGGUGACACGGCCAUCCUGUCACUGGGCCACGGUGCAAUGGUGGCAGUGCGCGUGCAGCGCGGGGCACAGACCCAGACCCGGCACGGCGUCCUGCGACACUCAGUAGACCUCAUUGGCCGCCCCUUUGGCUCCAAGGUGACUUGUGGCCGAGGUGGCUGGGUGUACGUGCUGCACCCCACACCGGAGCUCUGGACGCUGAACCUGCCGCACCGCACCCAGAUCCUCUACUCCACCGACAUUGCCCUGCUCACUAUGAUGCUGGAGCUUCGGCCUGGCUCUGUGGUCUGUGAAUCCGGCACCGGCAGCGGCUCAGUAUCCCAUGCCAUCAUCCGCACCAUUGCGCCCACGGGCCACCUGCACACAGUGGAGUUCCACCAGCAGCGGGCCGAGAAAGCACGGGAGGAGUUUCAGGAGCACCGCGUGGGCCGCUGGGUGACAGUGCGCAACCAGGACGUGUGCCGCAGCGGCUUUGGCGUGAGCCACGUGGCGGACGCUGUCUUCCUGGAUAUCCCGUCACCUUGGGAGGCUGUGGGCCACGCCUGGGACGCCCUAAAGGUCGAAGGUGGGCGCUUCUGCUCCUUUUCGCCAUGCAUCGAGCAGGUGCAGCGCACGUGCCAGGCGCUGGCGGCCCGUGGUUUCUCAGAGCUGAGCACCCUGGAGGUGCUGCCACAGGUGUAUAAUGUGCGCACCAUCAGCCUGCCUGCACCCGACCUGGGAGCCAGCCCGGGCCCCGACGCCGGCCCCUUCCGCAGCGGCACGCCCAUGAAGGAGGCCGUGGGCCACACCGGCUACCUGACCUUCGCCACAAAGUCCCCUGGCUAGCGGGCUGCCAGGAGCUCCAGGGAGCUGGAAAUGCUGUGGGGCCGGGCAGGGAGGCGCAGCUCGGCCAGAGGCCUCCUUAUAUGGUCAGCGGACGCCUGCCGGGGCCUGUGUUUAGAAACGGGGCCUGUGUUUAGAAAGGGACGGAAGGCAGAGCGGGGCUUGGGGGCCUCCUGGGUGGCUGAAGAGGGGCAGCCAUCGUGGAGGAGCAUUGGCAGGGCUCUUGGGGAGGGAGGCCUCCUGCCCGCGUCACCGCCGUGCUCAGUGUCCCCGUCCUGCUGUUGUUUGUUGCCACACGAAGUCUCCACCGCCGUAGGCUUUUUUGAGUGUUGAUGCCAAGGGGUGCAGGUGGCAGAGCCCAGGUCUGACCCCUUCCCAGGUGGCUCCAAGCCGAGGGCGGGGAGGGGAGCAAAGACUCAGAGAAGCAAGGCUGGGUGCUCGGUGCCGCGUCGAACCCCUGGACCCCGAGGCCCGGCUGCCCCACACAGUCUGUGAGCCAGCUUCUCCUUUCCCUCCCUGGUGCUGACGGGGCCAGGCCGGCCCAGCAGCUAGGGAGAGGCAACCCUGCUGGGCGGCCUCAGGCCUGACCCUACCCCGUGGGCGCUGCACAGGCCACAUGGGAGUGUCCCCCAUCCACUCCUGUCGAAGGGGCAGGGGGCAGCCCCCGCCCACCCGCCUUGCUUCUCCGACACCUGGGAAGUGCCUUCUGCAGCGUGACCCAGCCACAGCCCCCGACGUGUCACUAAGUGAGAACACACAGCGUCCCUUAGAGAGGAGCCUGAGGAGGACAGUGACAUGCUUCAGAUGACCUGGCCCGUCCCUGCAAGAGCUGUUUGGACCCCAGCUCUCCAACCCCAGAGCUAUUUGGAUGUCCCUGCCCCUCGUAGGAACACUGGGGUUAUGGGGGCACAGAGGUGCAUCCAGGACAGAGGGCAAGAUGCCGGAGCUGAGGGCACUUGUCCCCUGCCCUGCCUGGCCUGGUCUCCAGCUCUGUGGUGUGCAGCUGGCAUGCCUGCCUGCCACUGGUGCAUGAAGGGCCUGUGUGUCUGCCCUUGGCCUCAGCCGGCUUUCAGGAGCCCCAGUUUUCCCAUGUCAGGACAAGAGCCCCAAGGUACUUUGCUGGCAUGGGGCUGGCCCCUGACCAUGCCUGGCGGAGAAAUAAAUGCUGUUGCCCCCGCCAUGCUGACUAGUCUUCCUGGUGCCCCAUGAGGCCAGACCCCCGCUCCCCCCACCAGUGUCCAGGCCGGACUUCCCUGCACGCAGCCCUCCUGACCCCUGCCCCUUCCUCUCCCUGUCCCAGGCCAGGCACCACAGCAGCUCUGGACUCCAGGACAAUGGCCUGGGAUGUGGUGGACAAAGGGACAAGUGUGUAACCACCCCCACCCGGCUGCAGAAAGGUCCACUUGUCCUUGGGGGUAGGGGGAGGUCCGUGUGUGUGUCAGUCAGUCCCAGAGCGCUGGGCCCUCCCCCCAUGGCCUGGCCUGGCCUGGAGUUCCCAGCAUGGGCGCCUGGGCUGCCUCUGCCUCUCGUGCUCCCUAACUGGCCCAGAACUCAAGAAGGACCCCCAGGCCUGCCAUCCUGGCCCAAGGCCCCCACCUGGGCCUUUGGGUCCUUGAAGGGAUACCGAGUGAGGUAGGUCUGCAGGAGGACCAGUCUCCUGGUGGCAGUGUCACAGGGCUGGGAGCCUCCCCUCUCCCAUCUCCUUCCGCACAGCCUCCUGGCGAGACCUGUGCCCCCUCUAGUCCCUCAGGGUCCCUCGAACCACUAGCCCUUCUCUGUGCGUCUUGUCCCCCCUUCCAGAACCUGUCCUGACCUCUGACCAGCUGUCUAGGUUACGGGACAGAGGAGGGACCUGGGCAUCACCCUGGCCUUAGGGAAAGGCCUGCAGGUUCUGAUGCGGGGCGCAGCUCUCCGUCGUCUACCGAGCACACAGGCCCCAGGAAUGCAGGCCUGGGCUGGGACCCAUUUUCCAGAUGGGCCUGCACUUGGGUCUGUGUGAGCUGGAGGGGUAGUGGGAAAGCCCUUCCACCCCAGGAUGGGUAACUGGGUGGCGGGCCACCAGGUUAGGCAUCAGGAAACCUGGAUCCCUGUCCCUGCUCACAGUUUCACCCGGCACAGAGCUGCCCUCUUGAAUCUGGGCGGCCCUUCAGCCCCUCGUCUGUGCUGCUGGGCCCUGCACACGAGUCCCUGUGCCUCCGCUGGACCUCUGGGCACCAAUCCUACCCCAGAUAGCCAUCCAGGCUGAGCUCGGCCUCAACCUGGAGCCCCAUCUGGCCCUGGGCCAGCAGUGAACUCUUGUGCAUCCUUCAAGGCCCCACUCAAAUGUCUCUCAGUGCCUCCCACUGCCCACCCCCAGACAGGAGCAUCCUGUUCAACCAUUUUCUGCUCCCACAUGUUCCAUGCUGGAUUACACCCCAUGCUGGAUGACAGCAAUUGCUCCUGCAGAGCUGCCCCCGGCCUGGGAGCUCCUACACACAGGAGCAGAAGCCAAGCGGCUCCCCAGUUCUGCAGAUGGGGAGCCUGAUGCCCAGAGAGGCAAGGCCAGGGCCCACGGUGAGUGACCAACGAGCAGGUCGGUGACAAUCACCUCCUGAGUCAGCAGCCUGGGGCCGGUCACAGGGCAAGGACUCAGCCUGGAACUCCCCACUGGCCCCAGACACUCACCUCUGGCCCUCAGUUUUUCCUUGGAAGUUCCCGCACCCUGCCCCUGCCCGGCCUCCGGCCCCAGGAGCCGAGAUGUGACACAUCUAACGCUCUGCAGCUGCCCCAGCUCCCGCGUCUGAGCCCCAGAAGGCGAACUGCUCAGAGGGGCCCAGGCCAGGACCCCACCCUAGGGCCGGGAUUAGAGUCUGCCUCCCCCAGGAAGCCCCCUGGGCCUUGCCUCAGCUCCAGUGUGUGCUGCUCCUGGCCUCGCUUUGCUUCGUCCUCACCCGCCUCUCAGGGGCUCACCCCCUCCACGGGAGCCCCUUGGGGCAGGGACCGGCCCUGUGCCCAACCUGGGGCAGCGUGGGUUCAGGACCCAGAGUGGGUUUUGAUACACAAGGGAUGCCAGGUCGCUGGGGGCCGCUCUCUGUCUAGCUGAGUGUGACAAGGAGGGAUUGUCGCCCUGCGAGGACAUCAGGGAAGGAGAGGGGGAGGAGAGCUUCCCCACCCCUGACCCCGUCACCGCUGCGGUCCAAGUCUGCUGCUUCUUUCCUUUCUUGGCCUCCAUUGCCUUCCUGUUCUCCCAGGGAUGCUGGCUCUCCUGCCUCCAGCCUGUGUGCUGGUGCGGGCAGGCUUCGUGACCCAGGGACCCAGGCUUCGUGGCCGAGGGAGAUGCUGCUGCUUCUACCCCACCCCAGGCCAUUGCACACAUGGGAAAACUGAGGCCCAGAGGAGACGAGACUUGCUGGGAUCCAGGCCUCCUACCUCUGCCUGCCCACCAGGACCUCCCGUAUCACACAGUCUCCCACCUGGCAUGGUCCCCUUACGUGCGACCAAAGAGGCCAAAGGGGAGAGAGAUUUCUGCUAUAGUCGUGGAAGGCUCCUCAGAAGAGGUGAAGGCCCGGCAGGGUCUGGAAGGGCUGAUGGAAAUUGAAGGAGGGUGAGCCGGAGGCCUUCCCAGGUGGGAGUGGGCAGGCCUCGGGCAGGAGACCCUCAGGCAGGCCCUGAGAAGGCGAUGGAAAGGCCCGAUUAGAUGCAGAGGCAGCGUCCCUGCGACCUCCUGGGCUGGUAACUGCCUGUCCUGUCUGCAGGGCUGCUGGAAGCACCCAGACCCAGAGCCCCACCCUGCCCAGGGGCUGAUGGGCUCACGUGCCAGUCUGGGGGUGUCCCUGCCUCCUCCUGAGAGGGUCCCCAGGGGCAGCCUUGCUGGAGGGCCUGGUUUCUGAUGUCCCCAGGAAGGAGGUGCAGGUGGGGGCUCAUGGUGCCAAUCCUCGACUCUACCCUCUUUGCCAACCUCAGGGGGUGCUCUCGUCCACAGAUGUGGGCUGAACACCUGCCGUGUGCCCCACCCUCCUGGCACCGGGGUCGCAGACAUUCAGGGCAGCCCAGCCUGUGCUCGAGGGGCUCCCGGGAACGUAGCACAGACGGUCAUCCCGUCACGGUGCUUAUAGUUGUGUAAUAACACCAAAAACUGGGAGAACAUUAGGCUGGGCGUGGGCAGACGGCACUUCAGUUGACCUCCACAGCUUUCAAGCCACUAGGAAGCUCAGAGCCAAAUUUGCUGCCCAUCUGUCAAGAGUAUAUAGACCUUCACCCUGUUUCAUCUUAUUUCCCACCCACUUUUUUCCUGAUGUUUUACCCUCCUCAUCCCAGAGUGGCCUUGAGAGGACUGAGGUGGGUGAUGUCACAGGUCCUCAGAGCCCACGUUGAUGUUGUCACCUGGGUACACUGCCACGAAGUGGUACCUUAGGGUGCCAAACCUAUACUUGUAACAAUGUAAUAAGUACCCCUUACCCAA